AGUGAACGCUGGCGGUAGGCCUAACACAUGCAAGUCGAACGGCAGCACAGUAAGAGCUUGCUCUUACGGGUGGCGAGUGGCGGACGGGUGAGGAAUACAUCGGAAUCUACUUUUUCGUGGGGGAUAACGUAGGGAAACUUACGCUAAUACCGCAUACGACCUACGGGUGAAAGCAGGGGAUCUUCGGACCUUGCUCGAUUGAAUGAGCCGAUGUCGGAUUAGCUAGUUGGCGGGGUAAAGGCCCACCAAGGCGACGAUCCGUAGCUGGUCCGAGAGGAUGAUCAGCCACACUGGAACUGAGACACGGUCCAGACUCCUACGGGAGGCAGCAGUGGGGAAUAUUGGACAAUGGGCGCAAGCCUGAUCCAGCCAUACCGCGUGGGUGAAGAAGGCCUUCGGGUUGUAAAGCCCUUUUGUUGGGAAAGAAAAGCAGCAGGUUAAUACCCCGCUGUUCUGACGGUACCCAAAGAAUAAGCACCGGCUAACUUCGUG
rnacentral:rRNA from 1 species